GACGAACGCUGGCGGCGUGCCUAAUACAUGCAAGUAGAACGCACAGUUUAUACCGUAGCUUGCUACACCAUAGACUGUGAGUUGCGAACGUGUGAGUAACGCGUAGGUAACCUGCCUGGUAGCGGGGGAUAACUAUUGGAAACGAUAGCUAAUACCGCAUAAUAUUGAUUAUUGCAUGAUAAUUAAUUGAAAGGUGCAAUUGCACCACUACCAGAUGGACCUGCGUUGUAUUAGCUAGUAGGUGAGGUAACGGCUCACCUAGGCGACGAUACAUAGCCGACCUGAGAGGGUGAUCGGCCACACUGGGACUGAGACACGGCCCAGACUCCUACGGGAGGCAGCAGUAGGGAAUCUUCGGCAAUGGACGAAAGUCUGACCGAGCAACGCCGCGUGAGUGAAGAAGGUUUUCGGAUCGUAAAGCUCUGUUGUAAGAGAAGAACGGGUGUGAGAGUGGAAAGUUCACACUGUGACGGUAUCUUACCAGAAAGGGACGGCUAACUACGUG
rnacentral:rRNA from 1 species